GCCUGUGUAGCUCAGUGAUAGAGCAACUGACUUGUAAUCAGUAGGUCGGGGGUUUGAAUCCCUCCACAGGCU
rnacentral:tRNA from 1 species